ACAGAAGCCCCAUCCCCACAGCCACAGGCACCAAGGCGAGAGAGAAAGAAAGAGCAGGGAGGCGGGCGAAGCGCAGGGAGAGAAGCAGAGAAGAAAUAUUCACCUUCCCGCCUCAUGCCCACUUUGAGGCACUUCUUGAGGCGGCAGUAUUGGCACUGGUUGCGGUGGUGCUGGUCGAUGGGACAGUUCCUGUUGGCACGGCAUGUGUGGCCAUGGUGUAGCAGAUUGCUGCAGAUGGUUUCAAUAGUCCUGCUGAAUGCUCCUCGUCUGUGCCUGCAAGAGGAACUCAAGGCUUUAUGUAUGGCCAUUGCUGUGACCUAGUGUGAUGCUCUACUUUUCCACUGAACUCUGCUUGCUCUAACUGAGGACCUUAGCUAUAAUUUAGCCUUUUCUUUUUAUAUUAAGCUGUUGUUGAGGAAGGAGCUUUGGCAAUAGAAGAAAGCAAGCAGCAGGUUCAUUUCCACUGUUGACACAACUGGAAACGGAUCCCUACUUUAUGCAUUGGAGAUGCUAUGAAGACUACUCUGUCUGAUGUUUCCCUAUUGGGGUAGUGAAGUGUGAUGCUUCAUUGGUUGAGUGUAUGCAAUCAAAGUAAGAGUGAAAAAGGAAGAUCUGAGGAGUGGGCAGAUGCCUGCCGGGUAAACUAUUUGUGGCAUAAACUUGAGGACCCCACAGGAAAGCCAGAUGUUGUCAUGUGCUUCUAACCACAAUUCUGCUAUUGAAUGGGGGAUUACUGGCCAGUGACUAGCCAAAAUGGUGAGCUUCAUGUGCUGAGAGAACUACCUAUCUCAAAAAAAUAAGGUGAAAGGGCUAGAGAGGUGGCAAAGUAGCACUGACUGAUCUCUCAGAGGAGAACGUGGAUUCAACUCCUAGCACCCACAUAGCAGCCAACAACCAUCUGUAACUCCAGUCUCAGGGGAUUUAGUGCCUUUUUAUAUCCUCAGUGAACACUGCACAUAUAUUGUGCAUAGACAUACAUUCAGUCAAACAAACACUCAGACACAUAAAAAUAAAUGAAAUCUCAAAAUAUUUUAAAAAGAUAAUGUGGAGGGUGAUUGAGGCCUUAUAUUAAUCUUUAGACUUUACAAAAUGAGUUUUACACACACACACACACAAAACACACAAACACACUAUAUGUACACACACAUAUAUACACUGACACACACACUUGAAAAAUUGUUAUUGUUUAAAAUUUUUUGAUAACUUGUCUCAGAAUUUUUAUUAUUGAUUUUAUUAUAAUAUUUAUUUUGAGUCUACAGUAAAUCUUUAUGCUGGAACUAGACUUCAGGAUUAUUAUAAGAUACAUUUAAUGUAUAAAUUUGAGUUCAUAAUGGCGAGAAUAAUUCUUUUAUGGCUGUGGUAAUAAAGUAUCAUUAUCUUCUUAGAUCUAAUGUAAGAUUCAAACUCUGACCCACUAACUUCCAAGUCCCUUCUUAAAAGUGCUGUAUUAAACUGCAUGAAACU
rnacentral:lncRNA from 1 species